GAGCGGCGAACGGGUGAGUAACACGUGAGUAACCUGCCCUGGACUUUGGGAUAACCCUCGGAAACGGGGGCUAAUACCGGAUACGACUUUUNCUCGCAUGGGGAAGGGUGGAAAGUUUUUCGGUCUGGGAUGGGCUCGCGGCCUAUCAGCUUGUUGGUGGGGUGAUGGCCUACCAAGGCGACGACGGGUAGCCGGCCUGAGAGGGCGACCGGCCACACUGGGACUGAGACACGGCCCAGACUCCUACGGGAGGCAGCAGUGGGGAAUAUUGCACAAUGGGCGGAAGCCUGAUGCAGCGACGCCGCGUGAGGGAUGACGGCCUUCGGGUUGUAAACCUCUUUCAGCAGGGACGAAGCGUAAGUGACGGUACCUGCAGAAGAAGCGCCGGCCAACUACGUGCCAGCAGCCGCGGUAAGACGUAGGGCGCGAGCGUUGUCCGGAUUUAUUGGGCGUAAAGAGCUCGUAGGCGGCUUGUCGCGUCGAAUGUGAAAACCUGCAGCUCAACUGCAGGCUUGCAUUCGAUACGGGCAGGCUCGAGUUCGGUAGGGGAGACUGGAAUUCCU
rnacentral:rRNA from 1 species